AUAAAUAAAAUAUCUUAGUUUCUUAAAAUACAGCCUUUCCCUGUGCUCUACCAUCUUACAGUUCCUCUUAUUUCUGUCAGUGGAUGUGUAUUUUUUCCUUUUCCAAAGCUGGGUCAGCUUUCUAAUGCUCUCAGAUGGAGUGCAGGUUUUGGGCUGUGCAGCUAUUUUGCUGUCAGGCUCUUGUGUUGAAAGCAGCGUCUAAGUGUGCCAAAGUUCAAUUUUAUUUCUUGUUUAUUUCUUGUUUUCUCAUUGGAAAAUGGGAGCAGCUCUGCCCUGGCAACAAAAGUAGGCUAUUUGCAUACUGCGUUGUGAUUGGUCUGUGCAUUGAUGGGCUUGCCAAAUCACGCUGUAUCUCUGUGGUGAUAGGCUAUGCUAAUUAGGUGCUGUUGCUGGGAUUCUGAAUAGUGGUUACUGUGUAGCACUGGUGAAUUGUGUUGUCUGGUGAGAGAUGCUGAUAGCUGAACAUGCUAUUUGAUAAUUUUUUGAUUCCUUCUGGCUUAAAAUGAAGGAUGAUUCACUGUAUAGUGUGGAGAUGCUUUAUUUUCACCCCUUUUCACUGUUAAACCUGCUGUUUUGCUCCUUUUUCUUCACAAAGGAGGAGAGACUUCAGCAUGCAAACCUUCGUCCGUCCGGCUUGCGCCCUCUUUUUCUUUACACACUGCUGGUCUUCAGAUGGCUGCUCCAAUGCCCCAUACGCACCAGCAGUACAGUGACCGCCACCAGCCAAGCACUGACCAAUCUGUUACGGUCUUACCGUACAGCGACCAGACACCACAGCUCACUGCCAAUCAGAGGCACAUGCCCCAGUGCUUUCGUGACCCAACUUCAGCUCCCCUGAGGAAGCUCUCCAUUGACCUUAUCAAAACAUACAAACACAUCAAUGAGGUUAGAUUUGUUUUUCAUUGAAGACAUAUUUCUGUAUCAUUUGUUUGUUACAUUGUAAAGAUUUGACAUUUU
rnacentral:lncRNA from 15 species